CACAAAUAUUCCUAUUGGCUUCAUAAAGCAAUGAGUUAAGGAUCCUUCCAGAUAUUGUUAAAGUGAUACAUCAGAGACUGGGUGGUCUCCUUAAGGCCAUCAGUUACAAUUUUGGUAGAUGCAGUGGGAUGAUCCAUGAAAUCAGUUUCUCUUCCAGACACUUUCUUGGUCAGUUUUAUUUCACUUUGAUUAUGCUCCCAUUAGGGUUUUUUUUUUUUUUUUUUUUUUUUUUUUCCAGGUGAGACCCUACAUAUUUUUUUUUUCUUGGUCCUUUUAGGGCCAGGCCCACAGCAUAUGAAAGUUCCCAGGUUAGGGGUCGAAUUGGAGUUACAGCUGCUGGCCUACACCACAGCCACAGCAACAUGGCAUCCAAGCCUCAUCUCCAUCUACACCACAGCUCACAGCGGCAAUGCCAGAUCCCCAACCCACUGAGGAAGGCCAGGGAUUGAACCUGCAUCCUCAUGGAUAAGAGUCAGAUCCGUUUCUGCUGUGCCGCAAUGGGAACUCCGAGACCCUGCAUAAUUUAUUAUUCACUCGAUUUGGAUUUUUUUAAGGUGUUAAAAAGAAAAACCCUAGGUGAAUAUUACAGAUCAUAUCACUGAUGCCCAAGAUAAAUCUGAGACUCUGAUUCUUUCCUUUUUUUUUUUUCCCUUUUUUUUUUCCUUUUUGGCCACCCAGAGCCAUAACUGAUUAUUUAUCUAAUCGCAAACAUUAUCAAUCUAUGCAGUAGCAGAUCAACUGUCAAUCUUGAUCACCCACACACACCUGGAAGCGGUACCAGAAGUAAGAGAGUGUCGGGUAUGAGAAUGAAAAUUUAUCUUUUAGAAUUGCUCUUAACAGAAGGGAGAAAAUCUUCAGAAGUCAUCUUCAUAGAUUUUAUUCCUAAAUAUAGAUGCUUUUAAAUUGUUUGAAGAAACCCCUUCAGAAUAUUUGGAGAAGAAUCAACAGGACAGUGAGUCAGACUCCUUCAGCUGUUUCUACUUCUAAAACUCCUAAUUUUGCAAAGUACAUUGGCUGUUUUGGGCUAUUGCUGCAGUGACCUAGUCUGAAUGCUACGCUGGCCAGCUUGCUCCAAGAAUUAAUGGACUUCAAGCCUGGAUAAUGUGUCCCAGAGAAGGUAAAGGAGAAAAAGCACCUUGCUAUACUCGCUUUGCACUUAUUAUUCCACUCCCAUGAAGAUUCCAGGAAGCCACUGGAGCUUCUCUUAUUCUUGACAGUGAAAGUGAGUUGGGAAUGUGGAAGGAUUAACAAGUCCUAGAGACUGAACCUCAGCACCUCUGAAUCCAGUAAAAUCGUUAGCCUUCCCCAUUCCCUGAAGACUGUCUCUAAGUGAUUUUGCCAAAACAAGUCUCUCUACCAGUAGGAGAUUGUCAAGGCUCCAAUUAGUAAAUCCCUAAGCCCCAAAGUCAAUUAUGUGGGUAUGAAAAGUGCUGGAAAACUCUCAUUCCUGGGAAAAGAAAGAAUCAGAUAGGCCAUUAGCCCCACUGGGUGCAUAGAAGGAUUAGAAUCCACCACAAAAAGCAAUGUUCAUGCUUCUACUGAAAUGGAAUAAAGAUGACUGGAUGACUAUACUGUUAGAUCCGUUUCAGUAACUUUCUGAAAGCGACACAAGCCAGCAAAGUACGCUGGAUGUUUAUUCCUCUCUAAAUGGUUCCUCCACUCCUAUGCACUGUAAG
rnacentral:lncRNA from 1 species